CCUACGGGUGACAGCAGUCGAGAAUCAUUCACAAUGGGGGAAACCCUGAUGGUGCGGCGCCGCGUGGGGGAAUGAAGGUCUUCGGAUUGUAAACCCCUGUCAUGUGGGAGCAAAUUAAAAAGAUAGUACCACAAGAGGAAGAGACGGCUAACUCUGUGCCAGCAGCCGCGGUAAUACAGAGGUCUCAAGCGUUGUUCGGAAUCACUGGGCGUAAGGCGUGCGUAGGCUGUUUCGUAAGUCGUGUGUGAAAGGCGCGGGCUCAACCCGCGGACGGCACAUGAUACUGCGAGACUAGAGUAAUGGAGGGGGAACCGGAAUUCUCGGUGUAGCAGUGAAAUGCGUAGAUAUCGAGAGGAACACUCGUGGCGAAGGCGGGUUCCUGGACAUUAACUGACGCUGAGGCACGAAGGCCAGGGGAGCGAAAGGGAUUAGAUACCCCAGUAGUC
rnacentral:rRNA from 1 species